GACGAACGCUGGCGGCGUGCUUAACACAUGCAAGUCGAACGGUGAAGCGCCUUCCUUUUUGGUGGGUGUGGAUGAGUGGCGAACGGGUGAGUAACACGUGAGUAACCUGCCCCCUUCUUCUGGAUAACCGCAUGAAAGUGUGGCUAAUACGGGAUAUUCUGGGUCUGUCGCAUGAUGGGUCUGGGAAAGAUAUUGUUUCGGUGGGGGAUGGGCUCGCGGCCUAUCAGCUUGUUGGUGGGGUGAUGGCCUACCAAGGCGGUGACGGGUAGCCGGCCUGAGAGGGUGGACGGUCACAGGGGGACUGAGACCCGGCCCAGACUCCUACGGGAGGCAGCAGUGGGGAAUAUUGCACAAUGGGAGCAAGGCUGAUGCAGCGACGCCGCGUGAGGGAUGGAGUCCGUCGGGUUGUGAACCUCUUUCGCCAGUGAAGCAGGCCUGCCUCGUUUGUGGGUGGGUUGACGGUAGCUGGAUAAGAAGCGCCGGCUAACUACGUG
rnacentral:rRNA from 1 species